rnacentral:ncRNA from 1 species
CUCUAAUAUUAUUCGAGAUUAUAUAUUUUACGGAAUAUAUACAGUGAAGUAUUAGAUAUUAAAGGGAUUUAUUCCUUCCUGUGAGUAGAUAUAAAACAGGUAAAAAUGUAUCAAUAGGCUAUGUGUUAGUAGGUACAAGUUACAGAACAUA